rnacentral:rRNA from 1 species
UACGUAGGGUGCGAGCGUUAAUCGGAAUUACUGGGCGUAAAGUGUGCGCAGGCGGCCGAGCAAGUCGAGUGUGAAAGCCCCGAGCUUAACUUGGGAACUGCGCUCGAAACUACUUGGCUAGAGUGUGGCAGAGGGAGGUGGAAUUCCACGUGUAGCGGUGAAAUGCGUAGAUAUCGGGAGGAACACCAGUGGCGAAGGCGAGUCCCUGGACAAUUCCUGACGCUGAGGCACGAAAGCCAGGGGAGCAAACAGG